GAUCGUUGUGGCCUUACCUUUAACAAU
rnacentral:misc_RNA from 1 species